GGGCAUCACCCUUGCUUUAGGCAUAUAUGGGGCUUUAUUUUCUUAUUGUAGGUGAGGCAUCGAGGUGUUAUGUAGCCUAUAAUAGCCCCAGUCGGAACUGACGCGGGCCCGAAUAAGAAUUGACAGAAUUUUGUGCGGCUGUGAUGGCCGUAGAGGGCGAGGCCGAGACAUGGAUGGAAGAUCCAAUCAAAGCUGUUGGGGCCCAACCCCAUGCAAGAGCGUGCUAAUAGGUUGUCAACGCACGGUGUGGGCAAUGC
rnacentral:lncRNA from 1 species